CAGACACUUCAGCGUGUCCCUCCCUUGGGACGUUCAUAUCCACAGGGCUGACAGGAUGGCUCAGCUGCUGUGGAAUAUUCCUUUACACUGCAUGAAGAUGUGUCACUGUGCUUGGUUUAAUAAAAAGCUGGUGGCCAAUAGAUAGGCAGGAUUUCCAGAGACAGAAGAUGCUGGGAAGAAGAAGGGAUGAGAAGCCAAGAUGCAGGGUAGCAGGAUGGCCAGCGUGUAAUGAGCAUUCUCCUCGUCUCCUAGUCCUGCCUAUCUUCCUGCGCUACUGGCCAAACAGCGUUUUAUUCAUCAACCUGUAAGAGAAAGCUAUAAACAGAAGGACACCCCCGUCAGCUCGUACUGUAUUACAUAAACAGGAAGUAAAUCGUAACAGGUAUAAAGAAAGCAAGUGCUCCAAGCAAGUGCUCCUCCCAUGCGACAGAGACACCGUUACCUGCAGAGUUCAAGGUCUGCUUUUAAGAGUAAGGAGAAAAGUGUGGAAAGCUUGCCAGCACCAAGGAACCUUCUCCCAUGGUGAAAGAAGAGAGGAACUAAAGAUUAUGUGUGCACUGGCUCCUUGCGAUAUGACCCGGUAUCCAAAUAUGAAUCUUUGUGAAAUACUAACUUAGGCUGCCCUGGAUGAGGUUGGUCCUGGUGUGUUCCAUGCCAUGUGUGGUCUCAGGAGCAUAGCACUACAAUGGGCACGCUCACUAAGACAUCUGAGCUGGGAUUCACUGGGGACUCCUAUGUAGUCAACGGUUUCUACAGAAGGUCUGAAAGCAAAUAUUCCUGAUGUGAAUUAUUCAGGCUUUGCAUGACAGCCCUGCAGUGCAGUGUAGUCUUUAGGUGUUGCAGCCACAGAAAAGAAGGGGUCAAUGACCGGACAUGACCAGGUUUU
rnacentral:lncRNA from 1 species